CAACUUAUAACAAUGGAUCUCUCGGCUCCUACAUCGAUGAAGAACGUAGUGAAAUGCGAUACAUAAUAUGAAUUGCAAAUCUUGUGAAUCAUCGAGUUUUUGAACGCACU
rnacentral:rRNA from 1 species